AGAGAGAGACAUGCGCGCAUAUCAAUAAGCGGAGGAAAAGAAACUAACAAGGAUUCCCUUAGUAACGGCGAGUGAAGCGGGAAGAGCUCAAAUUUGAAAUCUUCAAGGUUUUACCUUGACAAAUUGUAGUUUAAAGAAGUGUUUUCUGCUGAAGUUUUGGUAAAAGUUCUUUGGAAUAGGACAUCAUAGAGGGUGAGAAUCCCGUAUUUGACCAUUAUUUUCAGCUUUGUGAUACACUUUCAAAGAGUCGGAUUGUUUGGGAAUGCAGUCCAAAAUGGGUGGUAAAUUUCAUCUAAAGCUAAAUAUUGGCGAGAGACCGAUAGCGAACAAGUACCGUGAGGGAAAGAUGAAAAGAACUUUGAAAAGAGAGUUAAACAGUACGUGAAAUUGUCAAAAGGGAAGCGUUUGACACCAGUGUUGUUUUCUCGAAAAUCAAUUAAAAAUGGCUCGAUUUUGUAUUGCUUGAGACCUUAAAAGCUCACUGUACAUUUUUCGUGUCUUUUUUAAUGCACUUUUCGUUUAACAAGUCAACAUCAGUUUCUUUUGUUGUAAAAGGGUCAUUGGAAGGUGGCUUUCUUUUCGGAGAAAGUGUUUAUAGCCUUUGGCCUCUGCAAUCGGAGAGACUGAGGUCUGCAGCGUAGACUCUUCGGGGUUAGAUACAUUUGUGCUAAGUUAUAGCUUUUUAUAGACAACUUGUUGACUAUAAUUAGUCUUGUAGCUUACUCGCUUAUGCUAUUUUACCUACGCUUAGGAUGUUGAAGAUGUAGCACAUCAU
rnacentral:rRNA from 1 species